rnacentral:snRNA from 1 species
GGAUGUGAGGGCAAUCUGGCUGCUACAUCUGUCACUUCAUUGAUCACCAGGGUUGAUUUGACUGAUCUGGCUGGCUAGGCGGGUGUCCCCUUCCUCCCUCACCAGUCCAUGUGUGACCCUCCCAAAGCUGUGAGCUCAGUUGAAGAGGACAACAUUCUCUGAUAGAGACAUACUGUUCAUCGGUCAAGAGUGUACGGUAGCUGUGCUCCCCUGCUAGAACCUCCAAACAAUAUCAACACCUUCCUAUUCCUAAUCUGGUGUAAAUCUGCCAUAAAUAGUCUGGCUGGCCAUUUCUA